rnacentral:rRNA from 1 species
UAACCCUACGGGACGCAGCAGUAGGGAAUAUUGCUCAAUGGGGGAAACCCUGAAGCAGCAACGCCGCGUGGAGGAUGAAGGUUUUAGGAUUGUAAACUCCUUUUGUGAGAGAAGAUAAUGACGGUAUCUCACGAAUAAGCACCGGCUAACUCCGUGCCAGCAGCCGCGGUAAUACGGAGGGUGCAAGCGUUACUCGGAAUAACUGGGCGUAAAGAGUGCGCAGGCGGGGUUGUAAGUCAGAUGGGAAAUCCUGUAGCUUAACUACAGAAAUGCAUUUGAAACUAUGAGUCUAG